CCCUUAGAUGUUCUGGGCCGCACGCGCGCUACACUGACGAAUGCAACGAGCUUAUAACCUUGGCCGAAAGGUCUGGGUAAUCUCCAAAUUUCGUCGUGAUGGGGAUAGAUUAUUGCAAUUAUUAAUCUUCAACGAGGAAUGCCUAGUAAGCGCAAGUCAUCAGCUUGCGUUGAUUACGUCCCUGCCCUUUGUACACACCGCCCGUCGCUCCUACCGAUUGAAUGGUCCGGUGAAGCGUUCGGACCGUGGCCUUUGGACGGUCCGCCGUCUGUUGGCUGCGGGAAGUUCGUUAAACCUUAUCAUUUAGAGGAAGGUGAAGUCGUAACA
rnacentral:rRNA from 1 species